AUUGAACGCUGGCGGCAUGCCUUACACAUGCAAGUCGAACGGCAGCAUGAUCUGCCUUGCUCGCUUGAUGUCGAGUGGCGCACGGGUGUGUAAUACAUAGGAACGUGCUCUGUAGUUGGGGAUAACUCGUCGAAAGAUUAGCUAAUACCGCAUACGUCCUGAGCGUGAAAGUGGGGGACCGAAAGGCCUCCUGCUAUAGAAGUGGCCGAUGUCUGAUUAGCUAGUUGGUGAGGUAAAGGCUCACCAAGGCCACGAUCAGUAGCUGGUCUGAGAGGACGAUCAGCCACACUGGAACUGAGACACGGCCCAGACUCCUACGGGAGGCAGCAGUGGGGAAUUUUGGACAAUGGGCGAAAGCCUGAUCCAGCAAUGCCGCGUGUGUGAAGAAGGCCUUCGGGUUGUAAAGCACUGUUGUCCGGAAAGAAAAGGUUCUGGAUAAUACCUGGAGUCGAUGACGGUACCGGAAGAGAAAGGACCGGCUAACUACGUG
rnacentral:rRNA from 1 species